rnacentral:rRNA from 1 species
AGGAUGAACGCUGGCGGUCUGCUUAACACAUGCAAGUCGAACGGAGUAGCAAUACUUAGUGGCGGACGGGUGAGUAACGCGUGAGAAUCUACCUUCAGGACGGAGACAACAGUUGGAAACGACUGCUAACCCCCGAUGUACCGAAAGGGCAAAUAUUUAUAGCCUGAAGAAGAGCUCGCGUCCGAUUAGCUAGUUGGAGAGGUAAAAGCUCACCAAGGCGACGAUCGGUAGCUGGUCUGAGAGGACGAUCAGCCACACUGGGACUGAGGCACGGCCCAGACUCCUACGGGAGGCAGCAGUGGGAAUUUUCCGCAAUGGGCGAAAGCCUGACGGAGCAAGACCGCGUGGGGGAAGAAGGCUCUUGGGUUGUAAACCCCUUUUCUCUGGGAAGAACACAAUGACGGUACCAGAGGAAUCAGCAUCGGCUAACUCCGUGCCAGCAGCCGC